GUCAACAUAGUUUAAAAAAAUAUCAGACUGUGAAUCUGAAGAUAGGGUAUAAACUCCCUUGUUCACC
rnacentral:tRNA from 1 species